GUCUUAACUGGGCGUUAAGUUGCAGGGUAUAGACCCGAAACCCGGUGAUCUAGCCAUGGGCAGGUUGAAGGUUGGGUAACACUAACUGGAGGACCGAACCGACUAAUGUUGAAAAAUUAGCGGAUGACUUGUGGCUGGGGGUGAAAGGCCAAUCAAACCGGGAGAUAGCUGGUUCUCCCCGAAAGCUAUUUAGGUAGCGCCUCGUGAAUUCAUCUCCGGGGGUAGAGCACUGUUUCGGCAAGGGGGUCAUCCCGACUUACCAACCCGAUGCAAACUGCGAAUACCGGAGAAUGUUAUCACGGGAGACACACGGCGGGUGCUAACGUCCGUCGUGAAGAGGGAAACAACCCAGACCGCCAGCUAAGGUCCCAAAGUCAUGGUUAAGUGGGAAACGAUGUGGGAAGGCCCAGACAGCCAGGAUGUUGGCUUAGAAGCAGCCAUCAUUUAAAGAAAGCGUAAUAGCUCACUGGUCGAGUCGGCCUGCGCGGAAGAUGUAACGGGGCUAAACCAUGCACCGAAGCUGCGGCAGCGACACUGUGUGUUGUUGGGUAGGGGAGCGUUCUGUAAGCCUGUGAAGGUGUGCUGUGAGGCAUGCUGGAGGUAUCAGAAGUGCGAAUGCUGACAUAAGUAACGAUAAAGCGGGUGAAAAGCCCGCUCGCCGGAAGACCAAGGGUUCCUGUCCAACGUUAAUCGGGGCAGGGUGAGUCGACCCCUAAGGCGAGGCCGAAAGGCGUAGUCGAUGGGAAACAGGUUAAUAUUCCUGUACUUGGUGUUACUGCGAAGGGGGGACGGAGAAGGCUAUGUUGGCCGGGCGACGGUUGUCCCGGUUUAAGCGUGUAGGCUGGUUUUCCAGGCAAAUCCGGAAAAUCAAGGCUGAGGCGUGAUGACGAGGCACUACGGUGCUGAAGCAACAAAUGCCCUGCUUCCAGGAAAAGCCUCUAAGCAUCAGGUAACAUCAAAUCGUACCCCAAACCGACACAGGUGGUCAGGUAGAGAAUACCAAGGCGCUUGAGAGAACUCGGGUGAAGGAACUAGGCAAAAUGGUGCCGUAACUUCGGGAGAAGGCACGCUGAUAUGUAGGUGAAGUCCCUCGCGGAUGGAGCUGAAAUCAGUCGAAGAUACCAGCUGGCUGCAACUGUUUAUUAAAAACACAGCACUGUGCAAACACGAAAGUGGACGUAUACGGUGUGACGCCUGCCCGGUGCCGGAAGGUUAAUUGAUGGGGUCAGCGCAAGCGAAGCUCUUGAUCGAAGCCCCGGUAAACGGCGGCCGUAACUAUAACGGUCCUAAGGUAGCGAAAUUCCUUGUCGGGUAAGUUCCGACCUGCACGAAUGGCGUAAUGAUGGCCAGGCUGUCUCCACCCGAGACUCAGUGAAAUUGAACUCGCUGUGAAGAUGCAGUGUACCCGCGGCAAGACGGAAAGACCCCGUGAACCUUUACUAUAGCUUGACACUGAACAUUGAGCCUUGAUGUGUAGGAUAGGUGGGAGGCUUUGAAGUGUGGACGCCAGUCUGCAUGGAGCCGACCUUGAAAUACCACCCUUUAAUGUUUGAUGUUCUAACGUGGACCCGUGAUCCGGGUUGCGGACAGUGUCUGGUGGGUAGUUUGACUGGGGCGGUCUCCUCCUAAAGAGUAACGGAGGAGCACGAAGGUUGGCUAAUCCUGGUCGGACAUCAGGAGGUUAGUGCAAUGGCAUAAGCCAGCUUGACUGCGAGCGUGACGGCGCGAGCAGGUGCGAAAGCAGGUCAUAGUGAUCCGGUGGUUCUGAAUGGAAGGGCCAUCGCUCAACGGAUAAAAGGUACUCCGGGGAUAACAGGCUGAUACCGCCCAAGAGUUCAUAUCGACGGCGGUGUUUGGCACCUCGAUGUCGGCUCAUCACAUCCUGGGGCUGAAGUAGGUCCCAAGGGUAUGGCUGUUCGCCAUUUAAAGUGGUACGCGAGCUGGGUUUAGAACGUCGUGAGACAGUUCGGUCCCUAUCUGCCGUGGGCGCUGGAGAACUGAGGGGGGCUGCUCCUAGUACGAGAGGACCGGAGUGGACGCAUCACUGGUGUUCGGGUUGUCAUGCCAAUGGCACUGCCCGGUAGCUAAAUGCGGAAGAGAUAAGUGCUGAAAGCAUCUAAGCACGAAACUUGCCCCGAGAUGAGUUCUCCCUGACCCUUUAAGGGUCCUGAAGGAACGUUGAAGACGACGACGUUGAUAGGCCGGGUGUGUAAGCGCAGCGAUGCGUUGAGCUAACCGGUACUAAUGAACCGUGAGGCUUAACCUUACAACGCCGAAGGUGUUU
rnacentral:rRNA from 1 species